rnacentral:rRNA from 1 species
AGCUCGUGUUGUGAAAUGUUGGGUUAAGUCCCGUAACGAGCGCAACCCUUGUCCCUAUUUGCCAGCGAUUCGGUCGGGAACUCUAGGGAGACUGCCGGUGACAAACCGGAGGAAGGUGGGGACGACGUCAAGUCAUCAUGGCCCUUACGGGUAGGGCUACACACGUGCUACAAUGGCCGGUACAAAGGGUUGCGAAAGCGCGAGCUGAAGCGAAUCCCGAAAAGCCGGUCUCAGUCCGGAUCGGAGUCUGCAACUCGACUCCGCGAAGUCGGAAUCGCUAGUAAUCGUGCAUCAGAAUGGCACGGUGAAUACGUUCCCGGGCCUUGUACACACCGCCCGUCACACCAUGGAAGUGGACUGCACCAGAAGUGGUUAGCUUAACCGUCGGGAGAGCGAUCACCACGGUGUGGUUCAUGACUGGGGUGAAGUCGUAACAAGGUAGCCGUAGGGGAACCUGCGGCUGGAUCACCUCCUUAAACGA